rnacentral:rRNA from 1 species
ACUCAAAUGAAUUGACGGGGGCCCGCACAAGCGGUGGAGCAUGUGGUUUAAUUCGAUGCAACGCGAAGAACCUUACCUGGUCUUGACAUCCACAGAACUUUCCAGAGAUGGAUUGGUGCCUUCGGGAACUGUGAGACAGGUGCUGCAUGGCUGUCGUCAGCUCGUGUUGUGAAAUGUUGGGUUAAGUCCCGCAACGAGCGCAACCCUUAUCCUUUGUUGCCAGCGGUCCGGCCGGGAACUCAAAGGAGACUGCCAGUGAUAAACUGGAGGAAGGUGGGGAUGACGUCAAGUCAUCAUGGCCCUUACGACCAGGGCUACACACGUGCUACAAUGGCGCAUACAAAGAGAAGCGACCUCGCGAGAGCAAGCGGACCUCAUAAAGUGCGUCGUAGUCCGGAUUGGAGUCUGCAACUCGACUCCAUGAAGUCGGAAUCGCUAGUAAUCGUGGAUCAGAAUGCCACGGUGAAUACGUUCCCGGGCCUUGUACACACCGCCCGUCACACCAUGGGAGUGGGUUGCAAAAGAAGUAGGUAGCUUAACCUUCGGGAGGGCGCUUACCACUUUGUGAUUCAUGACUGGGGUGAAGUCGUAACAAGGUAACCGUAGGGGAACCUGCGGUUGGAUCACCUCCUUACCUUAAAGAAGC